CGAGCACGCGCGUGUGGCAUAUCAAUAAGCGGAGGAAAAGAAACUAACAAGGAUUCCCUUAGUAACGGCGAGUGAAGCGGGAAGAGCUCAAAUUUGAAAUCUUCAAGGUUCUACCUUGACGAAUUGUAGUUUAUAGAAGUGUUUUCUGUUAGUGGAGUGGCAAAAGUUCUUUGGAAUAGGACAUCAUAGAGGGUGAGAAUCCCGUAUUUGGUCAUUCCUCCUAGCGUUGUGAUACACUUUCAACGAGUCGGAUUGUUUGGGAUGCAGUCCAAAAUGGGUGGUAAAUUUCAUCUAAAGCUAAAUAUUGGCGAGAGACCGAUAGCGAACAAGUACCGUGAGGGAAAGAUGAAAAGAACUUUGAAAAGAGAGUUAAACAGUACGUGAAAUUGUCAAAAGGGAAGCGUUUGACACCAGUGUUGUUUUUCCGAAAAUCAAUUACGAAUGUUUUAUUUUUGAGGAGUUAUGACUUCAUCGGCUUGCUCCUUUCUUUAUGAAACUUUCUUAAUGCACUUUUCGGUUAACAAGUCAACAUCAAUUUCUUUUGUUGUAAAAGGGUAUGAGGAAGGUAGCUUUCUUUUCGGAGAAAGUGUUUAUAGCCUUUUACCUCUAGCAAUCGGAGAGAUUUGAGGUCUGCAGCGUAGAUCCUUCGGGGUUAGAUACAUUUGUGCUAAGUUAUAGCUUUUCAUAGACAACUUGUUGACUAUGUUAAGUCUUGUAGCUUACUCGCAUGACUGCUAUUUUACCUACGCUUAGGAUGUUGAUGUGAUACUGCGAGC
rnacentral:rRNA from 1 species